UAUUUACGUGAUUUAUUCACAUUUCCAGAGGGUUUCCUGCAGCAGCGACGAUGGCUGGUCAGUGGCAUUGGCAGAUUAUAUCCGCCAUAAUGAUCAACAGCACCUAGAACUUGGGGACAAGCUGCUAAGAUUUUUUGAAGAAGAAGUGCUGGCAUGCCAGUCAUUCAUGGAAUAUUGUGAUGUCAUGGGUCUUAUGGGUGAAAUUCCCAACACAGAUGCCUUCCUGCAAGAAUCACUUCAGCUAAGGAACUGAUUCAAGGUUUAUGAGUGGACUAUUUGAAUAAAGAUGCUUGCUUGUGAAA